GCCCGCUUGGCUCAAUGGCAGAGCAUCAGGCACGUGUACACGUGCCUGAAGAUCGCAAGUUCGAUUCUUGCAUCGGGCU